UGGGGAAUUUUGGACAAUGGGCGAAAGCCUGAUCCAGCAAUGCCGCGUGUGUGAAGAAGGCCUUCGGGUUGUAAAGCACUUUUGUCCGGAAAGAAAUCCUUGGCUCUAAUACAGUCGGGGGAUGACGGUACCGGAAGAAUAAGCACCGGCUAACUACGUGCCAGCAGCCGCGGUAAUACGUAGGGUGCAAGCGUUAAUCGGAAUUACUGGGCGUAAAGCGUGCGCAGGCGGUUUGCUAAGACCGAUGUGAAAUCCCCGGGCUCAACCUGGGAACUGCAUUGGUGACUGGCAGGCUAGAGUAUGGCAGAGGGGGGUAGAAUUCCACGUGUAGCAGUGAAAUGCGUAGAAAUGUGGAGGAAUACCGAUGGCGAAGGCAGCCCCCGUGGGCCAAUACUGACGCUCAUGCACGAAAGCGUGGGGAGCAAACAGGAUUAGAUACCCUGGUAGUCCACGCCCUAAACGAUGUCAACUAGUUGUUGGGGAUUCAUUUCCUUAGUAACGUAGCUAACGCGUGAAGUUGACCGCCUGGGGAGUACGGUCGCAAGAUUAAAACUUAAAGGAAUUGACGGGGUCAUAGCUGUUUCCU
rnacentral:rRNA from 1 species